rnacentral:rRNA from 1 species
UUAAAAAGCUUCAAACUGGGAUUAGAUACCCCACUAUGCUCAGCCAUAAACCUAGACAUCCAACUACAAUUAGACGUCCGCCUGGGUACUACGAGCAUUAGCUUGAAACCCAAAGGACCUGACGGUGCCUUAGACCCCCCUAGAGGAGCCUGUUCUAGAACCGAUAACCCCCGUUAAACCUCACCACUUCUAGCCAUCCCAGCCUAUAUACCGCCGUCGUCAGCUUACCCUGUGAAGGCAAUAAAAGUAAGCAAAAUGGGCACAACCCAGAACGUCAGGUCGAGGUGUAGCGUACGAAGUGGGAAGAAAUGGGCUACAUUUUCUAUCACAGAACACUACGAACAUGCAACAUGAAAUAGUGCUUGAAGGAGGAUUUAGUAGUAAAAAGGAAGCAGAGUGUCCUUUUGAACUCGGCUCUGAGGCGCGUACACACCGCCCGUCACCCUCUGCAGUCAA